rnacentral:rRNA from 4 species
UACGUAGGGUGCGAGCGUUGUCCGGAAUUAUUGGGCGUAAAGAGCUCGUAGGCGGCUUGUCGCGUCGGAUGUGAAAGCCCGGGGCUUAACUCCGGGUCUGCAUUCGAUACGGGCAGGCUAGAGUUCGGUAGGGGAGAUCGGAAUUCCUGGUGUAGCGGUGAAAUGCGCAGAUAUCAGGAGGAACACCGGUGGCGAAGGCGGAUCUCUGGGCCGAUACUGACGCUGAGGAGCGAAAGCGUGGGGAGCGAACAGG